CAAGGCCCAAAGUCAAACACUAACCCUAAUUCACUAAUAAUAAAACAAUAAUAACAAUAAUCAUAAUUAAAAAAAAAUAAUAAGAAAUAAAAGAAACAAAAAAUUGUUUCACAGGGGCGGUGCCCUACUCGGUCCACAAACCCUUCCUUGUUUUUUUUUAAAAAUUAUUAACUCCCACCAAUAAUAAAAUAGCACAAUGGCAGAUUUUAAAAAAUAAGAACAAAGUAAAAUAACAAGAUAACAAACGGAUAAAAAAAAUCUCAUCUCUCUCAUUAAAAC
rnacentral:lncRNA from 1 species